UCAAAUGUAAUGCCAUUUUAUCCUACAAUGUAUAUUUAGUAAUCUCAUAGCAUAUAACUGCAUAUAUAUUGUGUUGUAGGCCUAGCUACUCCCAGAUGUUGGACAAAUGGAUUCAUUCAGGCAGCAAGUUAAUCCAUCAUUUAAGGAAAAUGAAUUCAUUUUAUCCACAAGAACAUGAGGUGAUGGAAAUAAUUUGCACCUGCCCAGCAUUCCUACAGUCUGUCAUUGGAUUUGAAAAGAAAUGUUUAUUAAAUAAAUUUUCUAGAUGAAUAAUAA